GACGAACGCUGGCGGCGUGCCUAAUACAUGCAAGUAGAACGCACAGUUUAUACCGUAGCUUGCUACACCAUAGACUGUGAGUUGCGAACGGGUGAGUAACGCGUAGGUAACCUGCCUGGUAGCGGGGGAUAACUAUUGGAAACGAUAGCUAAUACCGCAUAAUAUUGAUUAUUGCAUGAUAAUUGAUUGAAAGAUGCUAUUGCAUCACUACCAGAUGGACCUGCGUUGUAUUAGCUAGUAGGUGAGGUAACGGCUCACCUAGGCGACGAUACAUAGCCGACCUGAGAGGGUGGUCAGCCACCCUGGGACUGAGACCCGGCACAGACGCCUACGGGAGGCAGCAGUAGGGAAUCUUCGGCAAUGGACGAAAGUCUGACCGAGCAACGCCGCCUGAGUGAAGAAGGUUUUCGGAUCGUAAAGCUCUGUUGUAAGAGAAGAACGGGUGUGAGAGUGGAAAGUUCACACUGUGACGGUAUCUGACCAGAAAGGGACGGCUAACUACGUG
rnacentral:rRNA from 1 species